rnacentral:rRNA from 1 species
UUUCUGGACCCCUCCUUCUAUCUGCAGAACCAAGAUUGAUGAUGGCGCAUUGGUGGGACGCCUGCAUGCAAACUGGGGCACCAAUGAAGUCUAUAGGGCGUCAUGUUGCAACGGCAAGCGUCCGACGUUUUACACAUUAUCGGCAAUAGAUGGGCAUGCGUUUUAUUUUCUAGUUGGUAAGGUAACGGCUUACCAAGGCAACGAUGGGUAGGGGCCCUGAGAGGGGGAUCCCCCACACUGGUACUGAGACACGGACCAGACUCCUACGGGAGGCAGCAGUGAGGAAUAUUGGACAAUGGAGGAGACUCUGAGCCAGCAAUGCCGCGUGCAGGAAGACAGCCCUAUGGGUCGUAAACUGCUUUUACAGAGGAAGAAACACCCCGACGUGUCGGGGCUUGAUGGUACUCUGGGAAUAAGGCCGGUUACUCUCUCACACGCCUGAAUACGGAUGACCAAGGUUUCCGGAAUAUUGUGUUUAAGGGUCUGAGCGGCUUUAAGUAGUGGUGAAAUUU